UAGCAAAGAAAUUAGUUCUCAAACUUACACUUUAUACCUCAAAGUCUGGAAAGAGUAUUCGGACUUUAAGGUACAUUGUUUCUUAUCAGUUAGCAAAAUACAGGCUUUUUUUUUUUUUUUUUUUAAUUGAGUAUUAAUAUAUUCUAACUUGGUUCAAAUUAAUACUAAUAGAAAAAAGUAUGGCUAAAUAUGAUGAUAAAUCAGACUUGAAGUGAUUGUUUUAAAUGUUGGGAAUUCUUUAAUUUAGGACACGACCUUCUGAGUAUCUUUCUCUUUUAGAUAUCAAGUUGUUCUGCAAACAACAACAGAAGAGAAGAGAAAAAUAGGUGCUAACUUGAAUCGUCUUAUAGAAACAGUUGCUACUCAUAUAGCUUCUAUAGUGAAAUACCUUGAUGAACAGAAUGUGAAAAUUCACAGAGACUAUGAAGAAUUCAUGUCUGAAGAUCUGUUGUCAAACUUGACCAGCAUCCUAGACAGCUAUAAAAAAAAGGCUGAAAGUCUCUAAUCGCUAAAAGGAUGGAGAUAAAAAUGUUGCAUUUCUGAAGCUCUUGUAUGGUGCCUUCUAAAAGGAUGGAUACUACCUGUAUUUAGCACUGAAACUGGUUUGAAGUGGAAGGAAGUAGUUAUGAAUGUUUUUUUGUUGACACAAAUACAUGAAAGAAAUAAAAAACAUAUUUGCAUUUUUUGAAGAAAUGCUUUGCUCCGACUUUGUACUUGCAAUAGCACGUGUAUACAUGAUGGGCACGUGCAUGACAGACAGUUCACAUCCUUCUCCAAGCUUCAUUUUACUAACAAGACCAAAUGUAAAAUGUCUGUCUCCUGCUUGUUCAGUUCCCUAUGAAACUGCACAGAGACACCUCUUACAUGAGUAAAAAAU